rnacentral:rRNA from 1 species
AUUGAACGCUAGCGGGAUGCCUUACACAUGCAAGUCGAACGGAGUGGCGAACGGGUGAGUAAUGCAUCGGAACGUGCCCAGUAGCGGGGGAUAACUACGCGAAAGCGUAGCUAAUACCGCAUACUAUUGGCGCGGCCGAUAUCGGAUUAGCUAGUUGGUGGGGUAACGGCUCACCAAGGCGACGAUCCGCAGCUGGUUGUAGAGGACGACCAGCCACACUGGGACGGAGACACGGCCCAGCAUCCUACGGGAGGCAGCGGUGGGGAAUUUUGGACAAUGGGGGAAACCCUGUUCCAGCCAUCCCGCGUGUGCGAUGAAGGCCUUCGGGUUGUAAAGCACGUUUGGCAGGAUAGCGGUACCUGCAGAAUAAGCACCGGCUAACUACGUGCCAGCAGCCGCGGUAAUUC